CCUACGGGAGGCAGCAGUGAGGAAUAUUGGUCAAUGGACGAGAGUCUGAACCAGCCAAGUAGCGUGAAGGAUGACUGCCCUAUGGGUUGUAAACUUCUUUUAUAAAGGAAUAAAACGAGGCACGUGUGCCUUUUUGCAUGUACUUUAUGAAUAAGGAUCGGCUAACUCCGUGCCAGCAGCCGCGGUAAUACGGAGGAUCCGAGCGUUAUCCGGAUUUAUUGGGGUUAAAGGGAGCGUAGAUGGGUUGUUAAGUCAGUUGUGAAAGUUUGCGGCUCAACCGUAAAAUUGCAAUUGAUACUGGCAGUCGUGAGUACAGUUGAGGUAGGCGGAAUUCGUGGUGUAGCGGUGAAAUGCUUAGAUAUCACGAAGAACCCCGAUUGCGAAGGCAGCUUACUAAACUGUGACUGACAUUGAUGCUCGAAAGUGUGGGUAUCAAACAGGAUUAGAUACCCUAGUAGUC
rnacentral:rRNA from 1 species